ACCAUGCAAAAUCAUGGUAUUAAGAAAUGAAAUAUAAUUUUUGAGGGAUUGUCCCGCGCUUCGUCUCGCCAGCAGGAACGACGCGGCACACACAGGAUCCUACUACAGAAAAGCUUUAAUGCGUCUUGAGAGGGAGAGCAUAAGCUUACAAUGCGGAGACGCCGAGUGAGGAAUAACCGUCCCUUAUAUAGGAAACUAUCCUCGCCUAGGACGUGUCACUCUCUGACUGGUCGCUGCCAAUUAUGCCAGAUGACUUACCAAAACGUACAUGUCCCUUUGAGUAGGGACGUUACCAGGCGCCUGCGUAUUGCCCUUUUUACUAGGUGCGUUCUGCCGGAUGCCGGUGCCAUCUUGUAAUGGAGUUGGUGAGGACAGCUCCUCGGACAGCUCCUCACAUCUGUGAGGACAGCUCCUCGGACAGCUCCUCACAAGGGAUGGAAGUAAAGAUGUAAAAUGUUUUAGAAGAGAAGGGUUUAUUUAUGAAGAGUAAGGUGCAUGGAUAAUUCUAGAAUGGGAAGAAAGACUUGAACACUUCUUCUGAAAGUUAGGAAGGUUCAGGCACUGGCUGCCAUACCAGGACACUCUACCUGGUUUCUUCAAAAAUAUUGGAACAACCAGAUAGAGAAGCUUGUGCUAGUGUGUAUGCUAGCUCCAUCAAAAUCAGAGAAGACUUCAAGAUCAGUGCAAAUCAAUAACAGAAGAGCCCAACUAAUCUUAGCUGACUGCUUUCUGUGUGUCUGUUUGAGCAAGCCAUUGAUCCAUUUCUUUGCUGUGUUGGAACUCUGUCCUCUGAGCUCAGCAUGGCUGGUGCCCUCUGGACAUAUCAGCAGCUGUGUUUACCCCUGGGACCUGCAUAAGAUUGGGUUUGUUGACUUUGUGCCAUAGAGGGAAAAUGCUGCUUACCAUACCAACCCCUCUCAGUGAUUUGUAGAGCGGUAAGCCCUUGCUGGCAUUCCUGUCUUCAGUGAUAAUCCUGCCCAUACGCUGCUCAUGUUCCUGUCAGUAACCUGCAUUCAACCCCUUGGAAUUGUUUCUUCAGUUCUGUUUUUGGUGUCCUAUCUGGGCUGAGUUAGUGUUUGUUCAUCUCCUUAGAACAGUUUAUGCAAAACCUAAAGCCAAGAUGUGAACUGCAUAACCCUACACUAAAGAUAAAAUAGAUAUAGCCAUUGAAAUAUAAUCUUGUUAUAGAAAGAGAAAUUAAACAGAAAGAUAAAUGACACUUCAGAAUUCUAUGUAAUAAUACAAAAGAGUCAGGAAAAAUGUUCUGAACAGAACACUGGUAGCAUAGGGUUAAUAAGUGAAGGAUUGGUAAUAUUUUGGGCAGGUGUGCACAAAUCCAGAUUAAGUUUGGCUGGACGGGUUUUAAAAUUUUUAUUAACUUUUUAUUAUUUUAAUGAUUGAAAAUAAAAAUAUCACACACAGAAAUCAAUCAAAUUUUAGUUCAAUAUAUUCCAACCAACAGUGAGUAUGGUUAUUCCAAAGCUGGGCCAUUUCACUCUGGACUUUAUUCAAACCUCCGCUAUUAAUAAACAAUUUACAGCAAAGUGUCAAC